UUCCUCCGUUCCUCCUCACAGCUGUCCUGAACACCCAGCCUCCGAGCUGCGCUGCGUUACUACCAGUUUUCAGAUUGUCUUCCUAGGAAGGAAGAGCUCCGAAUUUUCUCUCAACCGUUCUUGUGGCCAAGAAGCGGGAUGGGGACAAGAGGCCUGGUGACCCCCCAAGCUGAAGUUAAAGAAAACCCUGGCUGUUGUGACUCUGCACUUAAAGCACCACCCUGAGCAUCAAAGUGUCCUGGCUUGGAUUCCCAGACCUGGAUGGCUGGUUCAAUGCCCAGGGGCAAAUUAUCCUGCAGUGAGGAUUAACAACACAGACAAACAAGGAAACAAACAAAGAAAAACAGAGGUGAAAAACUGGAGUGGAAAGCUUUAGCCACCUGUGCAGCCUCCAACAAGAUAAUUUCCACAUUGAGGAAAAGCUGUAAUUCCUGAGGACUGGGCAGGGCUUUUAAGGUGGCUGAGCCUCAGCAUUCCUCUGUGUGGAGAGUCUUCCCCAGAAAUGUCAUCUCAAUGAACCAGACUGGAAUUUUCCAGUCAAGCACCAGGUAGGUGAUCUGUCUCAUGGACCUCUCCAUCUCUGAUACACUCCCCCCCUCCCCCCACCUCAAGAUACAAUGUGCAUAGAAAACCCUUGCUGUUCUUGCCCCGCCCCCUCCACAGAAGAUGGCCAGAGUAAUAAUAAUCCUUUCCUUUGUUAACAGCACUUCUGGCUCAGCCUCUCCCUAUUAAAACCUUCCAUUCUGUGUGGCCCCUGGGAGUUCUGCUCUAGUUGCUAGAGGGGAUGCUGCCUGGUUCCUGAAUCUUUUAAUAAAGCCAAUUAAAUCUUUA